GGCUGUAGCUCAGUGGUAGAGCAUUUGCCUCGCACAUGUGGGGCACUGGGUUCGAGCCUCAGCGCCA
rnacentral:tRNA from 1 species